rnacentral:lncRNA from 1 species
GGACGCAACUUCGUGUAUCCGUAGCCAUUUACCUUCUCCUCUCUUUGGCCACCACCAUAACCACCACUGAUUACUACUCUCCCUCUUCUCCUCCGGUUCACCACUCACCGCCACCGGUACACAAACCCACGCUUUACUCCCCACCAACCUACAAUCCUACAGUACUCCCAUCUCUGGUUUACACUCCACCGGCUUACAAACAACCUCACUCACCUC